rnacentral:rRNA from 1 species
AACGAACGCUGGCGGCAGGCUUAACACAUGCAAGUCGAGCGCACCGCAAGGGGAGCGGCAGACGGGUGAGUAACGCGUGGGAAUCUACCCAUCUCUACGGAAUAACGCAUGGAAACGUGUGCUAAUACCGUAUACGCCCUUCGGGAGAAAGAUUUAUCGGAGAUGGAUGAGCCCGCGUUGGAUUAGCUAGUUGGUGGGGUAAAGGCCUACCAAGGCGACGAUCCAUAGCUGGUCUGAGAGGAUGAUCAGCCACACUGGGACUGAGACACGGCCCAGACUCCUACGGGAGGCAGCAGUGGGGAAUAUUGGACAAUGGGCGCAAGCCUGAUCCAGCCAUGCCGCGUGAGUGAUGAAGGCCCUAGGGUUGUAAAGCUCUUUCACCGGUGAAGAUAAUGACGGUAACCGGAGAAGAAGCCCCGGCUAACUUCGUGCCAGCCGCCGCGGUAAGAC